GAUGAACGCUGGCGGCGUGCUUAACACAUGCAAGUCGAGCGAACGGGCGAGAAUCUUGCUGCUCGCAUGUUAGGAGCGGGCGGGUGAGUCACAUGAGGAUACCCUACCUAUAAGAAUGGGAUAACGAAGGGAAACCGGAUCUCACACCCGAUAAGAUUUUGAACCCCGGGGUUCGAAAGUGAAAGACGGACUUGCUGUCACGAAUAGAUGGAUCCGCGCUGGAUUAGCUAGUUGUUACGGUAACGGCUUACCAAGGCAACGAUGCAUAGCCGACCUGAGAGGGUGAUCGGCCACACUGGGACUGAGACACGGCCCAGACUACUACGGGAGGCAGCAGUAGGGAAUUUUCGGCAAUGGGGGAAAGCCUGACGCAGCAACGCCGCGUGAGGGAUGAAGGUCUUCGGGUCGUAAAACUCUGUUAUUCGGGAAGAACACAUGUGUGAGUAACUGUGGAGAGCAUGACGGUACCUGAUCAAAAAGCAACGGCUAACUACGUG
rnacentral:rRNA from 1 species